rnacentral:lncRNA from 1 species
CUAUAACUCUGGCUGGCCUAGAGCUCACUAUAUAGACCAGGUUGGCCUUGAACUCGAAGGCCUGCCUGCCUCCUGAGUGCUGGGACAAAAGUUAUGCAUCCCUGCAGCCUGGUCAUUUGCUUUUCAUUUAUUCUGUUGGUAUUAUGAAUUAUAUUGCAUAGUUUUAAAAUAUUAAAUCAAUAUUUUGUGUUUUACCUGUAUGACUGAAUCUAUUAUAUCAGUCUUCUGGAGGAGUUCUGCCACAAAGCUUAUAAGGGAAUACUUGCUCUGUACCUUUCUUAUAAUGCCAUGGCCUAGUUUUGGUAUUUGGCUAAUUCUAGGCUGGGUAACUGAUUUAGUCUUCUUAUUUCCCUCAGUUGCUGUUUAGAAUCCAGCCAUGCUUUGCUGGUCAGAGUUUUUACAUACCAGUUACAUAUCAGGAGGACCCAUGCUAGUUUUAACUGGCCUUUCAUCAUUGCCCUUCUAGCCAACCUAUCUCCAAGAGCUGAAGGCUGCAGCUUCAAGGCAUGCUUCACCUGUUCACUUCUCAGUCUUUGCCAUCACACCAGUCAUCUAGUCGCAGCCUUUCAAUGGCUUCUUCUUGUCUUCUUGCUCGUGGGAUAUAAUAUAGAUUUCCUAACAUAGUCUGUGAAGCUGUGUGAUCUCAGAGUGCCCUCCUCUUGGGAUUUGGGGUUUUGUUUUGUUGUUGGUUGUGUGUGUUUGUUUGUUAUUUUUUAGUUUUUUCUCUAUGUAACCAUGGUCUUGAACUCACAGAGAUCUGCUUCUGCUUCCUGAGCACUGGGAUUAAAGGUAUGCACCACCACUGCCCAGCUCAUAUUAUAACCUCAAACACCAGCAUCCUGGAAUCCCCAGCCUUUCAUGCCUCACUUCACUGGCUAGUUUUUGUCAACCUGACACAAGCUAGAGUCAUCCGAGAAGAGGGAAUCUCAGUUGAGAGAAUGCCCCCACAAGGUUGGCCUGUGAGCAAGCCUGUGGUACAUUUUCUUGAUUAAUGAUUUAUGUAGGUGGACACAUGCCAUUGUGGAUAGUGUCACCCCUGAGUAGAAGGUCCUGAGUCAUUUGUAUAGGCUGAGCAAACCAUGAGGAGCAAGCUGGUAAGCAGUGUUCCUCCAUUGCCUUUGCUUCAGUUUCUGCUUUGAGUUCUUGCCCUGGCUUCUGGGUGAUGGAUUGACUGUAAGCUGUAAGGUGAAAUAGACUCUUUCCUCCCAAGUUGCUUUUGGUCAUGUUGUUGUUUUUUUUUUUUUUUUCACAGCAAUAAGCUAAUAAGCUCACACAUUCCUGUUUCUUUCAACACUCAUUAUGUAGCUAAGUCUUACUUAUCUCUCAGGACUCUGCAAAAAUGUCAUUUCCUUUAGGUGGCUUCCUCUGAAACUUGUCUUAGUUAGGAUUUUACUGCUGUGAACAGAUACCAUGAUCAAGGCAAGUCUUAUAAAUGGCAACAUUUAAUUGGGGCUGGGUUUCAGGUUCAGAGGUUCAGUCCAUUGUCAUCAAGGCAGAAGCAUGGCAGCAUCCAAGCAGGCAUGGUGCAGGAGGAGCUGAGCCUUCUACAUCUUUAUCCAAAGGAAGCCAGGAACAGACUGGGCAUCCUUAGGCAUCUAGGAGGAAGAUCUCCAAGCCCAUCCCCACAGUGACACACUUCCUCCAACAAGGCCACACCUUCUAAUCAUGCCACUCCCUGGGACGAACAUAUACAAACCAUCAUAAACCCUCAUCAGAAUAUCCCUUCCUCUUCAUUAUUAUAUCUAAGAUUAGACACAUACAAUAUAUUAAAAACUAUAUAUUAUUUAUAACAUAUAUAUUCAUUCUUGAUAUUUAUGUAUGUGGUAUUGUUUGUACAAGGUCAGUCAGUGGCUGCUUUUUUAAUCUGGAGGACUCUCAUUUGUCUCAGUUAAUUGAAUGAGAUAUAUAGUUGUAAACACUGAAGUCAACCUCCACUAUAAAGAGUCUUAGUUUUGAGCCUUAAGUUUAUUUUAUUUAUUAAUUUAAAAAUUUUAAAAUUUAUUUUAUCUUGUUUUUGAGACAGGGUUUUUCUGUGUAGCCCUACCUGUCCUAUAAGUAGCUCUGUUGACUAGGCUGGCCACAAACUCAGAAAUCUCUGAGUACUCUGCCUCUGCCUCUGAGUACUGGGAUUAAAGGUGUGUGCCACUAUAUCCAGCCUUAAAUUUACUUUAAAACUGGGCUGUAACUUCAAUUUUUUUAAAAAAACCUAUUUUUAAUGAUGGUUCUUAAACACUCUAACCUCCCUUGUAGCCCACCACCCACCAGAGGUAGUGGCAAAGAAAGGAUAACAGGGGAAGUAGACCUAUUUAGAAAGGUUCUUUAGAGCAAAUCCCAUCUGUGUCUUGUAGAAAUCAGUUCACAGGUCGGCAACAGCAGCUCAAUCCACUC